rnacentral:rRNA from 1 species
GAUGAACGCUGGCGGCGUGCCUAAUACAUGCAAGUCGAGCGAACAGACGAGGAGCUUGCUCCUCUAACGUUAGCGGCGGACGGGUGAGUAACACGUGGAUAACCUACCUAUAAGACUGGGAUAACUUCGGGAAACCGGAGCUAAUACCGGAUAAUAUAUUGAACCGCAUGGUUCAAUAGUGAAAGACGGUUUUGCUGUCACUUAUAGAUGGAUCCGCGCCGCAUUAGCUAGUUGGUAAGGUAACAGCUUACCAAGGCAACGAUGCGUAGCCGACCUGGAAGGGUGAUCGGCCACACUGGAACUGAGACACGGUCCAGACUCCUACGGGGGGAAGCAGUAGGGAAUCUUCCGCAAUGGGCGAAAGCCUGACGGAGCAACGCCGCGUGAGUGAUGAAGGUCUUCGGAUCGUAAAACUCUGUUAUUAGGGAAGAACAAAUGUGUAAGUAACUAUGCACGUCUUGACGGUACCUAAUCAGAAAGCCACGGCUAACUACGUG